rnacentral:rRNA from 1 species
AUACGGAGGAUCCGAGCGUUAUCCGGAUUUAUUGGGUUUAAAGGGUGCGCAGGCGGCCAUUUAAGUCAGCGGUUAAAUCGUGGGGCUCAACCCCAUUCUGCCGUUGAUACUGGGUGGCUUGAUUGCGGUCGAGGUUGGCGGAAUUCGUUGUGUAGCGGUGAAAUGCAUAGAUAUGACGAAGAACACCGAUUGCGUAGGCAGCUGACCAGACCGCAAAUGACGCUCAUGCACGAAAGUGCGGGGAUCGAACAGGAUUAGAUACCCCGGUAGUCCGCACAGUAAACGAUGAAUACUUGUUUUCGGCGAUAUAAUGUCGGAGGCAAAGCGAAAGCGAUAAGUAUUCCACCUGGGGAGUACGCCGGCAACGGUGAAACUUAAAGGAAUUGACGGGG